CACAUGCUCCCUUCGUUCGGAAAUACUGUCAUCGAAAUGGAUGUAUCUGGACCUAUUUUAGUUCUAAAUACAUUCAAUUUUAUCUAUUUGUGCGACAAAUAUUUCCGGACGGAGGAAGUAGUAU
rnacentral:pre_miRNA from 1 species